rnacentral:piRNA from 1 species
UCACUCAUCUUUUUGAGCAGAUCCCCU